CAUGUGGAUGGGCCCGCGGCCCAUUAGCUAGUUGGCGAGGGUAACGGCCCACCAAGGCGACGAUGGGUAGCCGGCCUGAGAGGGUGUACGGCCACACUGGGACUGAGACAAGGCCCAGACUCCUACGGGAGGCAGCAGUCGGGAAUCUUGCACAAUGGGCGAAAGCCAGAUGCAGCGACGCCGCGUGAGCGAUGAAGGCCUUCGGGUUGUAAAGCUCUGUCUUCGGGGACGAACCCCGGGACUGACGGUACCCCUGGAGAAAGCCCCGGCUAACUACGUGCCAGCAGCCGCGGUAAUACGUAGGGGGCGAGCGUUACCCGGAUUCACUGGGCGUAAAGGGGGCGUAGGUGGCCUAACAUGUCAACUGUGAAAACCCUCGGCUCAACCAAGGAAUUGCACUUGAUACUGGCAGGCUAGAGUCUAGUAGAGGGAAGUGGAAUUCCCGGUGUAGCGGUGAAAUGCGCAGAUAUCGGGAAGAACACCGGUGGCGAAGGCGGCUUCCUGGGCCAUGACUGACGCUGAGGAGCGAAAGCUAGGGGAGCGAACAGGAUUAGAUACCCUGGUAGUCCUAGCCGUAAACGAUGGGCACUAGGUGUAGGGGGGAGCUCGAUCCUCCCAGUGCCGUAGCUAACGCGUUAAGUAUCCCGCCUGUGGACUACGGCCGCAAGGCUAAAACUCAAAGGAAUUGACGGGGGCCCGCCCAAGCAGCGGAGCGUGUGGUUUAAUUCGAUGCAACGCGAAGAACCUUACCUAGGCUUGAAAUGCAGGUUAAACUCACUGAAAAGUGUUUACUCGGGAACUGGUGUACAGGUGGUGCAUGGCUGUCGUCAGCUCGUGUCGUGAGAUGUUGGGUUAAGUCCCGCAACGAGCGCAACCCCUGCUCUUAGUUGCCAUCAGGUAAUGCUGGGGACUCUAAGAGGACUGCCGAGGACAACUCGGAGGAGAUCGGAAGUGACGUCAAGUCGGUAUGUCCCUUACGUCCAGGGCUACACACGUGUUACAAUGGCCAGUACAACGGGUUGCUAAACCGCGAGGUGGAGCUAAUCCCUCAAAACUGGCCUCAGUUCGGAUUGGAGUCUGCAACCCGACUCCAUGAAGCCGGAAUCGCUAGUAAUGGCGGAUCAGCCAAGCCGCGGUGAAUACGUUCCCGGGCCUUGUACACACCGCC
rnacentral:rRNA from 1 species